rnacentral:rRNA from 1 species
CCUACGGGUGGCAGCAGUGGGGAAUAUUGGACAAUGGGCGAAAGCCUGAUCCAGCCACGCCGCGUGUGUGAAGAAGGCCUUCGGGUUGUAAAGCACUUUCAGUGGGGAAGAAAGCCUUGGGGCUAAUACCCUCGAGGAAGGACAUCACCCACAGAAGAAGCACCGGCUAACUCCGUGCCAGCAGCCGCGGUAAUACGGAGGGUGCGAGCGUUAAUCGGAAUUACUGGGCGUAAAGCGCGCGUAGGCGGUCUGAUAAGCCGGUUGUGAAAGCCCCGGGCUCAACCUGGGAACGGCAUCCGGAACUGUCAGGCUAGAGUGCAGGAGAGGAAGGUAGAAUUCCCGGUGUAGCGGUGAAAUGCGUAGAGAUCGGGAGGAAUACCAGUGGCGAAGGCGGCCUUCUGGACUGACACUGACGCUGAGGUGCGAAAGCGUGGGUAGCAAACAGGAUUAGAUACCCGAGUAGUC